GCAAGUUGAAUACUUACAUCAAGACAAUGAAGUAAUGGAUGAUCGCAAUUCUUUGUUAAAGCAUAAAACGGAAACUCUUUGGAAAGUUUAUUCUCUUUACAGAGAUGACAUUUCAUGAUGUCGACUUGUACUUGUCUUGCCAAGAGGUCGCUCAGAGAAUAUGUAGUUCAGAGACAGCAAUUCAAGCUAAGUUUGCUAAAAUUGCCGCUAUAAACCUGCCCAUAUAUUAACG